rnacentral:rRNA from 1 species
GAUGAACGCUGGCGGCGUGCCUAAUACAUGCAAGUCGAGCGAACGGACGAGAAGCUUGCUUCUCUGAUGUUAGCGGCGGACGGGUGAGUAACACGUGGAUAACCUACCUAUAAGACUGGGAUAACUUCGGGAAACCGGAGCUAAUACCGGAUAAUAUUUUGAACCGCAUGGUUCAAAAGUAAAAGACGGUCUUGCUGUCACUUAUAGAUGGAUCCGCGCUGCAUUAGCUAGUUGGUAAGGUAACGGCUUACCAAGGCAACGAUGCAUAGCCGACCUGAGAGGGUGAUCGGCCACACGGGAACUGAGACACGGUCCAGACUCCUACGGGAGGCAGCAGUAGGGAAUCUUCCGCAAUGGGCGAAAGCCUGACGGAGCAACGCCGCGUGAGUGAUGAAGGUCUUCGGAUCGUAAAACUCUGUUAUUAGGGAAGAACAUAUGUGUAAGUAACUGUGCACAUCUUGACGGUACCUAAUCAGAAAGCCACGGCUAACUACGUG